GUCUACAGCCAUACCACCCUGAACUUGCCCAAUCCUGUCUUAGAAGCUAAGUAGGGUUGGGCCUGGCACCAGCCUUGGAUGGAACAAACCUCAAGGCAAACAGUAGGUU
ensembl:rRNA 5S_rRNA 5S ribosomal RNA